rnacentral:lncRNA from 1 species
AUAGAGCACAGUGCCUUCUUUGAUGCUGGCAAACCAUGCUGGACUAUCAUGUGCCAGUUUCUUUUUAUGUCUCAUAAUUAAUACCAGAGUUCUUCAGAGAGACCUCGAGAGUGUCCUUGUAUUGCUUCUUUUGGCUUCUGUGUGAGCACUUGCCUUGCUUGUGUGAGUUCUCUGUAAAACAGUCUUUUUGGCAAAUUUAUGUUUGACAUUUAAAAAAUAUAACCAUACCAUCAGAGUGUGCUCUCUGUAUUAGAGCUUGAAUGCUUGGCAGUUCAAUUCAAGAAAGGAUCUGUGUCCAGAGCUUUAUCUUGCCAGGUAACAUUCAGAAUCUUCCUAAGACAAUUCAAAGGGAAGAGAUUCAAUGUCUUGGCACAGGGCUGGUAGAUUGUCCAGGUUUCAGAGGCAUACAACAAUGAGGUCAGCACAAUAGCUCUGUCAACCUUCCGUUGGUUCAUCAGACUAAUAAUACUACUUUUCUCCCUCACACAACUUCAGAACCUCCAAACGCUAAGCUAGAUCUGGCAAUGCUGAGUCUCAUCAUCUACGUGUGCAUCCUUGGAAAGCAUACUGCCAAGAAGCUCUGAGGGCUCCUGAUGGGAUUAGGAUCAGCUGGUGUGGGCCGAAUGAUUCCCGAGCCAAAAGAAAAAAAAAAACCAACCUCCUCCUCCACAAUCUGUGUUGAAUGCCCAGAGACUGGCCCAGGUUACUUUCAAGGUCACAUUGAUAUGAAGCACAGAGACAGCUCUGAAAGCUGCCAAGGAACCAACAAGUGACAAAUGGAAUGAAGUCCCACACUCCUCUGCUUUCAUUCAUCAAGACACAAGAUUGGACUUUAAACCAAAUGUAGUUUGGUUUUAACUCUUCCUUAUUAGAUUAGGAAAGCUGAUCUUUCAUUAGUCAUUCUGUUUAAACUUAGAAGAAUUUUUAUAUAUCUCUGUCACUAUCUCUAUAUCUAUAUGUUUCUGAUUAACUGAAUGUGUGAAAGUUCUGGGGGGAAAUGUAU